GUUCACACCAUUUUCUCUCCUAAAUAUACAAUAAAUCAUAAAUCACAAUUUUUUUUUUCUCAAAUAAUUAUCACAAAGCAUCAUUUUUAUUUGGAUUAUUAUUAUUAUUAUUAGCAACAAAACCAGAAAAUGGAGCAGCAAAUCGAGAUGAGAAAUUACGUAAAAGCCCAUCAUCAUCUUCCCUACCAUCACCACCGCCAUUGUCGAAAUUGAGAGCAUAACUAUCUGAAUCAUACUGAAACUGCGUCGUUUUGGCUGAAGAUUUCUUAGGAUUACAGUAUUUUCCGAUCUUCCUCACCAAAUUCUUCCAUUUGGGUCCAGCUAUAAGUUCAGAAUACUCUUUCAAUUCCUUCAUAUUUUUCACUAUCCAUGAAUCUCUGUUUUCUCUUUCAUGGAGGAGAGAAUUUGCUUCUCCUUCUUUUUGGGUUGAUGGGAAACAGGGGAAUCUGAAACAAGCGCACCAAAUUGAAGAGGGUUCUUCGUGAUAAUAGGAAUAAUCUGUUCCUUCUUGGGCAGUUUCUCUGAUAGGUGAAUAAGUGUUGUUCAUCAUUUUACUUGAUCAAAAAUCGAUCUGGGUGUGUGUGUUUUGGGGUAUAUCAGGUGUUCUUCGUCUUGCUCUGUUUAAUAUUCUUGCAAAUUCAGCUGAAAAUCGAUCUGGGUGUUUGUGUUUAGGGGUAUAUUAGCCGUUCUUCGUUGUGCUCUGUUUAAUAUUCUUGAAAUUUCAGCUAAAGUUACGAUCUUGGUGUGUUCUUUUGGGCGAUUUCGAGGUGAUGGUUGUGUAUCUUAGCUGUUCUUCUUUGUGCUCUGUUCUUGAAAAUUCAGUGGAAAAUCGAUAUGUUGGGGUGUUUGAGAUUUGGGGUUCUGGGUUUGGGUGCAGUGGGGGUGGGGUGGAAGAUGAACGGUGGUGGAGAUGGAGAAAAAUGGUG
rnacentral:misc_RNA from 1 species